rnacentral:RNase_P_RNA from 1 species
GGCCAGACGACCGCGGGGCCGACCGGGCGACCGGUCCGGCCAUGAGGAAAGUCCGGGCUCCACAGGGCAGGAAGCUGGCUAACGGCCAGGCGGGGUAACCCGACGGAAAGCGCCGCAGAAAAGAAGACUCCCGCUGCCCGCGCGAGCGGGUGAGGGAAAAGCUGAAACGGUGGUGCAAGAGACCACCAGCGUCGUGGCGACACGGCGGCUUGGCAAGCCCCUUCCGGAGCAAACGCAAAUAGGAGCGCCAUGGGGUGGCCCGCCCCGCGCUCGGGUUGCGCGCUAGAGGGCGUCGGCAACGGCGUCAGUAGAUAAAUGGUCGUCCACGACAGAACCCGGCUCAUAGGCCCGCCU